UACGGAAGGUCCGGGCGUUAUCCGGAUUUAUUGGGUUUAAAGGGUGCGUAGGCGGUCGGAUAAGUUAGAGGUGAAAUCCCGAGGCUCAACUUCGGAAUUGCCUCUGAUACUGUUCGGCUAGAGAGUAGUUGCGGUAGGCGGAAUGUAUGGUGUAGCGGUGAAAUGCUUAGAGAUCAUACAGAACACCGAUUGCGAAGGCAGCAUACCGGCGGCGAUCUGACGCUGAGGCACGAAAGCGUGGGUAUCGAACAGG
rnacentral:rRNA from 1 species